CAUGAAAGUUUGAAGCAGGCCUAGCUGGAGCAAGGAAGGCCACCCCCUCCUCUACUAUUUGAAGGAGAUUUUCCAAUCCCAGUCAAAUGGUGGUGCUAGUUCUUUAGUUUUGAGCUUCUGCAUUUCCUAAUUUCAUGGUCACAACAGCCUCGGAACAGCUUCUACCAAAACUGAAAAUGCAGGCUCCAUGCUCAGCAGCUCUCUGACGGGCAGCAAAGGUUCAUGCCCCUUCUCCUGCCCUCUCUAGCACAAGAAGACAGUCUCUGAGGGACUUUCUUCUCCUCAAGUGGCCCGUCGGCUGCAGAGCGCUCCGCUGAGCGCCGGGACGGUUUGUGCCUCGCCGCCAGACACUGACCAUGACCAUGACCCUCCACACCAAAGCCUCCGGCAUGGCCUUGCUGCACCAGAUCCAGGCGGGCGAGCUGGAGCCCCUAAAC
rnacentral:lncRNA from 1 species